AGAGUUUGAUCAUGGCUCAGAUUGAACGCUGGCGGCAUGCUUAAUACAUGCAAGUCGAACGGUAACAGGUCCUUCGGGAUGCUGACGAGUGGCGGACGGGUGAGUAAUGCAUAGGAAUCUGCCCAGUAGUAGGGGACAACCUGAGGAAACUCAGGCUAAUACCGUAUAAGUCCUACGGGAGAAAGGGGGCCUCUUCUUGAAAGCUCUCGCUAUUGGAUGAGCCUAUGUCGGAUUAGCUUGUUGGUGGGGUAACGGCCUACCAAGGCGACGAUCCGUAGCUGGUCUGAGAGGACGAUCAGCCACACUGGGACUGAGACACGGCCCAGACUCCUACGGGAGGCAGCAGUAGGGAAUAUUGGACAAUGGGCGAAAGCCUGAUCCAGCAAUGCCGCGUGUGUGAAGAAGGCCUGCGGGUUGUAAAGCACUUUCAGUUGGGAAGAAAAUCUUUAGGUUAAUAUCCUAAAGUCCUGACGUCACCAACAGAAGAAGCACCGGCUAACUCUGUGCCAGCAGCCGCGGUAAUACAGAGGGUGCGAGCGUUAAUCGGAAUUACUGGGCGUAAAGCGUGCGUAGGCGGUUAAGUCAGUCGGAUGUGAAAGCCCAAGGCUUAACCUUGGAACGGCAUUCGAUACUGCUUAGCUAGAGUACAGUAGAGGGAAGC
rnacentral:rRNA from 1 species